rnacentral:lncRNA from 1 species
AAUCUAUUUGACUCACAUGCUGCACACAUAAGAUGGAAGAGGACUCCUGAUUGAGUCAUUCUUCUAGCUCUUUUGAGUUCAAUGGGGAGAGGGAUUCCAAGACCAAUCAAACUCCAAUGAGAGUCCUAGGAUCCAUGCCUAUAAAUCUCCCUCCCAUCCUCAUUGUAUCACUCAAAUCUACAACCAAUCGCCGAUGAGCCCGCACAAUUUCUAUAGGUUUCCAUCAUAUGUUCUUUGAUGAGUCACUAUCGAUUUCUCACCAU